UAGCGUAGCAAAACCCGGCAUUGCAAAAGACCUAAAACCUUUUUAUAGGGGCUCAAAUCCUCUCGCUAACU
rnacentral:tRNA from 1 species